CAAGUGUUCUCUGCUACGUACUUCCAUCGAUAUUUUAGUAAUGCGAGUCGUUCAAGUGAUGGUCUCAAGAAUGAUCUCUCGCUUCGUUUGUUCGGAACAUUAAAACCACUGUUGUUGAAUAUAACGAAGGAAAGCGUGGUAUAGAUUAUUCCGACCAAAUGGUUUCUUAUGCCACCACAAUUAGAAAAGGAAUCAAAUGGUGCAGAAAACUUGGCAUUCAACUCCUUCUGGGAAUUUCUGUUGUAAACGCUUUGACGGUUUAGAAAAUUACAACAAGGAAGGAUAUA